GGAACCGAGGCUGAGGGAGAACCGGGGCUGAAGAGGAACCGGUCCCAGCACUGGCGGCCCCCGAGCUCCUCCUGCCCCGCCGGGACCCCUCGGAGGGGCCGGGAUCAUUCCCGGGAUAAUUCCCGGGACAAUUCCCAGGAUAAUUCCCAGGACAAUUCCCAAAUUCCCAGGACAAUUCCCAAAUUCCCAGGACAAUUCCCAAAUUCCCAGGACAAUUCCCACAUUCCCAGCUGCCAUUCCCUGUUUUCCAGCUGGCAGAGCUGAAGCAGGAGUGCCUGGCCCGGGGCCUGGAAGCCAAAGGCAACAAACAGGACCUGAUCCAUCGGCUCCAGGCCUACCUGGAGGAACACGCUGAGGAAGAGCCCAACGAGGAGGAUGUGCUGGGAGAGGAGAUUGAGGAGGAGGAGCCGAAGGCGCCGGAGCCGCCCGUGAAGGUGGAGGAGGCGCCGGUGAAGACUCCUGACGUGAUCCAGGAGAAAAAAGUGGUGAAAAUCUCCUCAGAAAUCUCCCAGAUGGAGG